UCGCUAGGGUAGAUUUGAAUAGGCUGCCGAACCGCUCUUUGGGCCGCGGGACGUGGCAGCAACCCGGAGUCAAGAUUGCCUCUGCUCUCCCCAUGUUUCCCAUAUCUCCUAUGGAGCCAGGACUCAGGGUUCCCCACGGUGUAGCGAUGUCAUCCCAGAACACGCAGAACCUAAGCCUGGAGGGUGAUCUGAGAGGUCCGCGAGACUCAUUUAAUUAGAUAAUUUGUGAAUUCCGACUUAAAUGUUUUUCUGUCCUUCAUCCAACAAGAUCACAUUUAAACCUUCGAAUGCACCGUAGAGCUUGUCCAGAGAUUCCCAGAAAAGAGAGCUCCUGUGAAGCCAGGUAAGCAAUCACACAGUCCAGUGAUAUGAUGGCAUGGUCCACUGCUGUGAACACACUGAGGACAUUUCUGACUGCAACGAUGUCCAUAAAAUCCAGACACAAGAGAAAAGGAGGAAAUAAAAUCACCAUGAGUUACUUACUUCUUUGACAAGUGGUACCUCUGAAACCUGGUGCACACUCACAGAUCCCAUCAUCAGGAGCGCAGGUGCAUGUUCCAUCUAGAGCACUGCAAGCUCCUCCAUUUCGGCAUUCACAGGUCAAGUUGCAGCCAAAGCCCCAUUUGCCACUGGGACAGUUGAUGGAGCAAUCCACACCAUGCCAACCUACCACAGAGGGUCCGGAUUAUAUUAAGGAAAAAAAGAAUUAGCUACUGGAUCCUGAUAUGAAGAAUUCUAAGAUUUCAAACCAAAUCUUCCUCAAAACUUGAUCUUGAUAGAACUCUCUGAUUCAAGCCAAAGUCAAAAUAAUUCACCUUAAAUCCAGGUGCACAGAAGCAUUUCCCCGUCACACUGUCA